UAAAGUUAUAUACGAGUAAUACAUUUCUCACCAAAAUCAGGAGAAAGGCCGCAGACAUGGGAAUCCUUGGAAGUCUCAGUUCAGAUCAACUCCAGUUCUUCAAUUCGCAAGGGUAUCUUGUGUUGGAAUCGUUUUCCAGUGCAGAAGAUAUAGAAUCGAUGAGGAAGAGAAUGGAGGAGUUGCUAGAUACGUUCGAUUGCUCUUCCACCGCCUCAAUUUUCUCCACCAGGAAUCAGAAAAAUACUACUGACAAUUACUUCUUUGAAAGUGCUGAGAAGGUUUCAUUUUUCUUUGAAGAGAAAGCAUUUGGGGAUGAUGGCAACUUAAAGCAGCCAAAGCAUCUCUCAAUAAACAAAGUUGGUCACGCUUUGGAUGAAAUUGAUCCUGUGUUUAAGAAGUUCUCUAGUACAGAGAGAAUGUCAGGCCUACUCCAGUCUUUGGGUUACCAUAGGCCAGUGGUCAUUCAAUCCAUGUACAUAUUCAAGCAACCAGGUAUUGGGGGUGAAGUAGUGCCACACCAGGAUAACUCAUUUCUGCAUACUGAGCCACGAACUUGCACGGGGUUGUGGCUGGCUUUAGAGGAUGCAACAGUUAUAAAUGGCUGUCUUUGGGCUAUUCCAGGGUCUCAUAAAAAUGGUCUUGUGAGGAGAUUCAUUCGAGAUGCGAAUGGGGUUCAUUUUGAUAACCCAUCCCCACUCUAUGACCAAAAAGAUUUUGUUCCUAUUGAAGUUAAAGCUGGCACUUUGGUUGUCAUCCAUGGUGAUCUUAUCCACCAGAGCUUUGAGAAUCAGUCUGAAAAAUCAAGGCAUGCAUACAGUUUGCAUGUAGUAGAUACUCUUGGCUGCAAAUGGUCAGAAGACAAUUGGAUUAGGAGGGCUACUGAUCUGGCACCCGUAUACAGUUCUUGAUAUUGACCUGGCUUGUCUCCAACAGUGUUGUUUAAGAAGCUUCUGCAUUCACCAAGUGCAAAAUCUAUGCUUGUGCAUAUGUAAACAUGUUGUCUGGAAGAAUAGGAGUUGUAUUGAGCUUUGUUUCAGUUUAAAAACAUACACACACACACUCUGACAUUGGUUCUAUUAUUAAACCUAAAUAAUGAGAGUUCAAUUGAGCUUCAUUUCAGCUUAAACUCUCCCUGACGGGAUUUUCU